UGCGCAGGCGGUUAUAUAAGACAGAUAUGAAAUCCCCGGGCUCAACCUGGGAACUGCAUUUGUGACUGUAUAGCUAGAGUACGGCAGAGGGGGAUGGAAUUCCGCGUGUAGCAGUGAAAUGCGUAGAUAUGCGGAGGAACACCGAUGGCGAAGGCAAUCCCCUGGGCCUGUACUGACGCUCAUGCACGAAAGGCUGGGAGCAAACA
rnacentral:rRNA from 1 species